CUCAGGCUGACUUCACAAGCAACAUGUCCUGGGCAGCCUUAUUCAUCACUAUUGUCUAUAUUAGCACAUAUUGUGCUGCACAGAUCACAUUGACACAGUCACCUUCUGAAUCCGUGUCUCCUGGGAGUACAGUGAAAAUCUCCUGUACGGCUAGUGGAAUCACCAUAAGUGGCUACCGGGUUUACUGGUAUCAGCAGAAGGAAGGGAAUAGUCCUCGAUAUCUUCUGAACUAUUAUACUGACAGCGACAAACACCAAGGAACAGGAGUCCCUGAUCGGUUUUCUGGGUCUAAAGACAACUCAAAAAACGCUGGCUAUUUAACCAUUAAUGGGGUACUGACGGAGGAUGAGGCAGAUUACUACUGUGCUGUGUGGGACUCUAACGCAUAUAUUUUCGGAGGUGGGACCACGCUAUCCGUUCACUCCGGAGAAGUGAAGACUCCCUCUGUAUUUAUGUACAAACCUUCCGAUGAAGAACUAAAGACAGAUAAGGCCACUGUGGUCUGCACUGUGAGUGCCUUCACUCCAAGGAUUGCGUCAGUGGAAUGGAUGGUGGAUGAGAAAAAGUGGACAACUGAUAUAUAUACCACACCGGCCAGCAAACAGGAUGAUAACCUGUACAUGGAGAGUAGUCUCCUCAGCAUGUCCUCCACAGAAUACCUGAAACAUGAGAAGUUUGCCUGUAAAGUGACACAUCAGGGGAAAGAGAUUACCCAGACGAUAAAUCGAUCAGAAUGUUCUUAAUAUUUACUUUCUCUAAAUAUUUAUGGCUCAAUUAAUGCUUUCUUUCACAUUCGCUAUAGGGGCCAUAAAUGUAAUUUUAUAUAACAGUAUUACUGUUCUUUUUUCUUAUUAAGUUGUUAUACAUCCAUAUUUCUACUAGUAAUUGUUCUUUUACUUCAAUCUCUUCAUGUGGAACUCUUUAAUAGAGUUAUUGUCACUUUUCUGUAUGAACUUGAAAAUAAAAUGAUAAUAUCUUCA